CCCUGUGGGGAGAGACGAAUAAGUGGUGGCCAAUAUCCACUAUGAUGACGGUAUCUCCUUAGCAAGCACCCGGCUAACUCUGUGC
rnacentral:rRNA from 1 species